rnacentral:lncRNA from 1 species
GUCCCCCACCGCCCCGGCUGGGAGCAAGCUGCGGCUGGAAAGCUCUAGAAACAAUUUGCAGCUCCUGUGCCAAAGGCAACUGCAGCCCCGGCCAUUUUCCAUAGCAACAGGUGGACGGACGGACGGACGGACGGACAGACGGACGGACGGAGGGGCUCGGGACGCUGCUGCUGGGGCAGUUUUUAAACUUUUUUCUUGUUUUUAAAGUUGAACUUUUUAAUUUUAAUUUAAUUUUUUUAAAAAUAAGCAAAAAUUCCCAGCGCCCCCGUCCCCCACGAUGCCGUCCAAUGGGUCUAUUGAAGCCAGCAGCCCUCCUCCGGACUGGGAGACGCCCGACGCUCACAAGAACUCUUUCUUUGCCAAGGGCCUGUGCCUCAUUGGGACACGUCUUCGGCCUGGGUCCUUCCUUCCAGCCCCGGAACACCUG